GAAAGUGGUGGUGGGAAGCACGUAGGAUACUAGCUUUGCCCUUUGUUUAUCUUCUUCUCCCGACAUGACAUUGCCUAAGUGAUCUCGGGUCAUGGUUUCGAUCAGUCCAUUGUCAUUGGGCAGGCAUCAAGUACUGGUUUGUCAUGAGAGGGAAGAAGCUUGUUGAGCGGAGGACAUGAAAGCAUGCCGAGCAUCCAUUGCAGCCCGGCCGGUGGGAGAUUGUUGAUUGCGCUUUGGCUUGCACCGUCAACGAGGAGGGACAAAAAACCAUGAAUGGUUUUGGAGAGAGGUCAUCAUCAGAACUAGCUUACCGUAGGGAUGGUUCUUGGAAGGACAUGGGAACAUCAAUGAGUGCCAUCUCGUUCGGUUUAGCAGCCACCGCGAUCUUGAUCUCUAUGUUCCUCGUCAUGGCCAUAUUUGAGCAUCUAAUCAAGCCAAGGGCAUCGUUUCUUCGCUCCCGAAACAAUGCACAUGGUUCGUCGGAGCUCCACCGGCCACAAGCUCAGAUUCAUCGCUCUCAGGAGAAGGUUCAGAAUUCCAUAACAGUCGGAACGCAGUGCGCAUCUGAUCUCUCCGUGUUAAUGCCGGGACAGCGGUUUCCCACUUACAUCGCACAGCCUGCUCCUCUACCUUGCCCCAGAGAGGGGAUAAUUUGGCCCUCCCAUGUUGCUCAUGUGUCCUACAUGUAGCUGAUGUGAUCUAUCGCCUAUAGCUUGGAAGCGGCUGUCUGCAAUGUGAUUUGUUCAUACGAAUACGAUUUGAUUUUUCUUUCACGCUCGAAUGUAAUGCCAAAAACAAGACAUCCUUAAUCUCAGCAAGUAAUCGGGAUGUAAGCAGGUACAACAGCUGAUUUCUUGCCGGAGGAAAACCGAUGACGGGCUA